rnacentral:rRNA from 1 species
CCUACGGGUGGCAGCAGUGAGGAAUAUUGGUCAAUGGACGAGAGUCUGAACCAUCCAAGUAGCGUGAAGGAUGACUGCCCUAUGGGUUGUAAACUUCUUUUAUAUGGGAAUAAAAUGUUCCACGUGUGGGCUUUUGUAUGUACCAUAUGAAUAAGGAUCGGCUAACUCCGUGCCAGCAGCCGCGGUAAUACGGAGGAUCCGAGCGUUAUCCGGAUUUAUUGGGUUUAAAGGGAGCGUAGGUGGAUUGUUAAGUCAGUUGUGAAAGUUUGCGGCUCAACCGUAAAAUUGCAGUUGAAACUGGCAGUCUUGAGUACGGUAGAGGUGGGCGGAAUUCGUGGUGUAGCGGUGAAAUGCUUAGAUAUCACGAAGAACUCCGAUUGCGAAGGCAGCUCACUGGACUGCAACUGACACUGAGGCUCGAAAGUGUGGGUAUCAAACAGGAUUAGAUACCCGAGUAGUC